rnacentral:rRNA from 1 species
GGAUUCAGCGGCGGACGGGUGAGUAAUAGCCUAGGAAUCUGCCUGGUAGUGGGGAUAACGUCCGGAACGGCGCUAAUACCGCAUACGUCCUGAGGAGAAAGUGGGAUCUUCGGAAGCCUCACGCUAUCAGAUGAGCCUAGGUCGGAUUAGCUAGUUGGUGGGUAAAGGCCUACCAAGGCGACGAUCCGUAACUGGUCUGAGAGGAUGAUCAGUCACACUGGAACUGAGACACGGUCCAGACUCCUACGGAGGCAGCCAGUGGGAAUAUUGGACAAUGGCGAAAGCCUGAUCCAUGCCAUGCCGCGUGUGUGAGAAGGUCUUCGGAUUGUAAGCACUUUAAGUUGGAGGAAGGGCAGUAAGUUAAUACCUUGCUGUUUGACGUUACCAACAGAUAAGCACCGGCUAACUUCGUGCCAGCAGCCGCGGUAAUACGAAGGGUGGCAAGCGUUAAUCGGAAUUACUGGGCGUAAAGCGCGCGUAGGUGGUUCAGCAAGUUGGAUGUGAAAUCCCCGGGCUCAACCUGGAACUGCAUCCAAAACUACUGAGCUAAGUACGGUAAGGUGGUUGAAUUUCCUGUGUAGCG